rnacentral:rRNA from 1 species
CCUACGGGAGGCAGCAGUGGGGAAUAUUGGACAAUGGGCGCAAGCCUGAUCCAGCCAUACCGCGUGGGUGAAGAAGGCCUUCGGGUUGUAAAGCCCUUUUGUUGGGAAAGAAAAGCAGUCGAUUAAUACUCGGUUGUUCUGACGGUACCCCAAAGAAUAAGCACCGGCUAACUUCGUGCCAGCAGCCGCGGUAAUACGAAGGGUGCAAGCGUUACUCGGAAUUACUGGGCGUAAAGCGUGCGUAGGUGGUUGUUUAAGUCUGUUGUGAAAGCCCUGGGCUCAACCUGGGAAUUGCAGUGGAUACUGGGCGACUAGAGUGUGGUAGAGGGUAGUGGAAUUCCCGGUGUAGCAGUGAAAUGCGUAGAGAUCGGGAGGAACAUCCAUGGCGAAGGCAGCUACCUGGACCAACACUGACACUGAGGCACGAAAGCGUGGGGAGCAAACAGGAUUAGAUACCCUGGUAGUCCACGCCCUAAACGAUGCGAACUGGAUGUUGGGUGCAAUUUGGCACGCAGUAUCGAAGCUAACGCGUUAAGUUCGCCGCCUGGGGAGUACGGUCGCAAGACUGAAACUCAAAGGAAUUGACGGCUGAGNGNGCGAGAGACACGAGGGAGGAGG